UCUGCACCAUUUUUCUCUUUCUUGAUAUCUACGUAUGCUGUAGGCACUUAGUCCACCUGAGUCAUAAAUGAGACAAAAGAAGGCCUUAAACACAUUUGGUUUGAGAAGGAAAGGGAGUGGACAGCUGAUUGCAACAACCACUCCCCUCAUUUCUCCUCUUUUCUCUAUUUUCCCCUUCUUUUCUCCUCUCUACUCUUCCUUGCUUUUCAGAUUUCCAAAGAGAUUACCAACC
rnacentral:lncRNA from 1 species